AAUAAGUGAAGCCAUGAGUUUCCGCGCCCAACUUUGAUCGUCCGUCUUAUUUGAAAUUUUUUUAUACUUAGCAAUUUUGUUAUUAUAAGAUGAUAAAAUAUGAAUAGUACUUUACUCGUGACUUAUGUUUUUAAUUUUUUUAAAAUUUUUUUCAAAUAAGACGAAUGGUCAAAGUUGGGCGCUGAAAACCAUGGCUGCACUUAUU
rfam:Oryza sativa Japonica Group DNA, chromosome 6, cultivar: Nipponbare, complete sequence.